UACGUAGGGUGCGGGCGUUAAUCGGAAUUACUGGGCGUAAAGCGUGCGCAGGCGGUUUUAUAAGACAGAUUUGAAAUCCCCCGGCUCAACCCGGGACCUGCAUUUGUGACUGUAUAGCUAGAGUACGGUAGAGGGGGAUGGAAUUCCGCGUGUAGCAGUGAAAUGCGUAGAUAUGCGGAGGAACACCGAUGGCGAAGGCAAUCCCCUGGACCUGUACUGACGCUCAUGCACGAAAGCGUGGGGAGCAACCAGG
rnacentral:rRNA from 1 species